rnacentral:snRNA from 1 species
AAUUUGGUGCAUUGGCAGUAUCAUAGCCAAUGAGGUUUAUACGAGGCACAAUUAUUGCUAAUUAAAAACUUUUCCCAGUCCCCUGCCAUGACGACUUGAAAUACAGUUGGCAUUGGUAAUUUUUGACAGUUUCUACUGAGA